rnacentral:tRNA from 1 species
GGGCCUAUAGCUCAAUGGUAGAGCAUAUCACUUCAGAUCAAGAGAUCACCAGUGCGAACCCGGUUGGGCCCU